CUCAGUGUGGUGCAAUGGUAGCAUACUCCGUUACGGACGGAGAGAUGUAGGUUCGAUUCCUAUCGCUGAGA
rnacentral:tRNA from 2 species